rnacentral:rRNA from 1 species
UCAAGCGUUGUUGUUAUUGAAUGCAACCAGUUCCCAAUGGAUCACUGAAGUUAAACAACGUUGCGCGUGGUUAGUAUCCGGAGGGGUGACUGUAUGGGCGACCGCGUGCUGGCUUUUC